CACGUAUGGGGCGAGCGUUGUUCGGAAUUAUUGGGCGUAAAGGGUAUGCAGGCGGUUUGACAAGUCUGGUGUGUAAGACUUCAGCUUAACUGAAGGAACGCGCCGGAAACUGUCAGGCUAGAGUACAGGAAGGGGAGUUGGAAUUCCAGGUGUAGGGGUGAAAUCUGUAGAUAUCUGGAAGAACAUCAGUGGCGAAGGCGAACUCCUGGCCAUGUACUGACGCUGAGAUACGAAAGCGUGGGGAG
rnacentral:rRNA from 1 species